UGUAUGUUGAUGCAAUAUUUCAAUCAAUAAUGCAUGCAGCUCCUUCUUCCACUCAGCCUCUUUUCUUAUAGAUUAUAGUCUCCACUGUUUCUUGAAAGCAAAUAAAACACCCAAAAGGCAAAAAGCAUUAUAAAUAAAUAAAAUCAAGAACCCAAAUCACAACAAGGAAGUGGAAAGGAAUUAGCUAUGGCAGAGGUGCUGAAGAAGAAGAAGAAGAAGAAGCCAUUAAAGCUCUUAUUACUUUUCUUGUUUUUUGCCAUGGUGGAUUACUCAGAGCAAAUGCUCCCACCUUCCCAGUUCCAAGCCAUUCAGAGGAUCAAACAGGAGCUGAGCUUCCCAGUGGAGCUAAGCAGUUGGAGUGAGAACUCAGAUUUCUGCAACACUGAGCCACUCCCAAUCCUAACACUGGUGUGCUAUGAAGAUAACAUAACACAGCUCCAUGUGGCUGGGAAUGGGGUUUUCCCUCAAUUUCCUCAAGAGAUUUCCACUUCUUUCCUCUUCUCCAAUCUUGCUAGCCUCCCUAACUUGAAGGUCCUCUCUUUAGUUUCUUUGGGUCUGAGAGGCCCUUUGCCUCCAAGUAUUGGGCUUUUGUCUUCUUUGGAGAUUGUGAAUAUAAGCUCAAACUCCUUUAAUGGCAGCCUUCCAUUGGAGAUUUCAUCUUUGAAGGGGCUUCAGACACUUGUGUUGGAUAAUAACAGGUUCACAGGUCAGGUUCCUGAUUGGUUAGCUUCACUUCCUGCUUUGACUGUGCUGAGUUUAAAGAAUAAUUCUUUUAGUGGUUUAUUGCCCAGUUCUUUGACUAGUUUAAAGCUGUUGAGAAAUGUUGUUGUUUCUGGGAAUAAUCUGUCUGGGGAUUUGCCUAAUUUCCACAAUUUGUCAAACCUUCAAGUUCUUGAUUUGGAGGGUAAUAGUUUUGGGCCUAAUUUCCCUAGUUUGCCUACAAAGCUAGUGGCCUUGAUGUUGGGGAAGAACAAGUUUGGGUUUGGGGUACCAGAUGAAGUGAAGUCUUGUUAUCUGUUAACAAAGAUGGAUAUUUCUGAGAAUGAGUUUGUGGGGCCCCUUCCACAAUCCUUGUUGUCAAUGCCAUCAAUUGAUUACCUUGAUAUUUCUGGGAAUAAGUUCACUGGGAAACUCUUCAAGAACAUGUCAUGUAACUCUCAGCUUUCUUAUGUGGACUUCUCAUCGAACCGCUUCACUGGGGAGUUGCCUGAUUGUUUGCACCCGGGUACUGGUCACAGGACAGUUUCGUACUCCGGUAAUUGCUUGUCAGAUAUUGAGCAAUGGCAGCAUCGCGAGUCGUUCUGUCACAACGAAGCCCUGGCUGUUAGAAUCAUGCCUACCAACCACAAGGAGAAACGACCAUAUGCUAAAGUGGUUCUUGCAUCGAGUAUGGUGGGAGGGCUUAUUGGAGGAACAGCGCUUCUUGGUUUGGCGUUUUUUGUUGUGAAGAAGAAAUUUGCUAAGCAGCAGCAAAUUAACAGAACCCCGAAUGCUCGACUCAUAUUGGAAAAGGUGCCACCUGCAUACACGCUAAAGCUGCUAAACGAUGCAAGAUAUAUUUCAGAAAAAAGGAAGUUUGGACUGCUUGGCAUUCCCCCUUAUCGGACAUUUGUUUUGGAUGAGCUUAGGGAGGCGACAAAUAACUUUGACGCAGCAAAUAUACUAGGAGAAGGCUCUUGUCGCCAGAUCUACAAAGGCAUGCUCACGGAUGGCACGGUGGUUGCCAUAAGAAGCUUGAAAACGAGGAAGAAGCACAGCAUCCAGCACUACACUCACCAACUCGAGCUGGUUUCAAAGAUUAGGCAUUGCCACUUAGUUAGUGCUAUAGGCCACUGCUUCGAGUGCUAUCAGGAUGAUUCGAGCGUCAGCAGAAUAUUUCUCGUGUUCGAGUUCGUACCAAAUGGAACACUGAGAGAAGUCAUAUCAGAGGGAAAUGCUGGGCAAAAGUUCUCGUGGUCACAAAGGAUGAUGGCUAUGUUAGGAAUUGCGAGGGGAAUUCAGUUUCUACACACUGGGAUAGUGCCGGGCAUUUUCUCAAAUCACUUGAAGAUAACAGAUAUCUUACUGGAUCAUGACUUCCAUGUGAAAAUUAGCAAAUACAAUCUGCCUUUGUUAGCUGAGAAUAAGAACAUGGAUGCUUUUGGUGCGUCUUCUAGUGGAGGGAAGGAGAGUGCAGGUCAGCAUUUAAGGAGAAAGUUGAUGUCUAUGGCUUCGGAGUAAUUUUACUUGAAACCAUAGUGGGAAGGAAAAUGAUGACCCCAAAUGACAUUGAUGUCUCCAAAGACAUAUUAUCUGUAAGCUUAACAGCGGAUGAAUUGGCGCGAAGAAACAUUGUGGAUCCUGCAGUCUGCAAGGAAUGCUCCGACCAUUCACUGAAGACGGUGAUGGAGCUUUGCCUAAGGUGUCUGUCAAAUGAGCAGUCCGAUAGUCCCUCGGUUGAAGAUGUGAUAUGGAAUCUGCAGUUUGCAGCUCAGGUUCAGGACUCAUGGCGUCGGGACUCUCACAGCGCCCACUGCUCUCCAGGCCACGUAGCGUUGGCAAGAUCUGCAUCUGAUUUGUUACAGUGAUGAGGGAUGUUGCAUGUUUAUAUGAAUGAUGAAAAUGGUUAUGUUCAUUUGUUUUUGUCUGUCUAAGGUUAAUGAAAAGCCAGUACCUACAAUUUUGCUGCUGCAGAUAAAUGCAUUAUUUCAAGGUUAACUUAA